UUAUUAAAGUCUGUAGCGCUUAGGGAAUCAUUUAAAAACUAGAGGGAAUAGACGCAACUAUAGCAACAAUUUCUGCUGAAGAUGCAGAAAUACAGAAGAAACAAGAUGAGAAAAUAGUAGAGACAAUUAAUUUAGGAAAGCGUAGAAAUUCAACUUCGCCAUCCCCGGCAGAUGAACCAGUAAUAAAGAAAAUUAAAACAGACUGUUACAAAUUUGAAACUGAUGGAGAUAAGGUACAGAAUAGUACACCAAAACCUGUGAAGAGGAGAAUAGAAGCGGAAAAGUUUGCACACUUGUACAGGUUACUAAAUGAGAAGGAAGGUAUAAGUGAGAGAUUAUCAGCUAAAUCACCAGAUGCAACGGAAGAAGUUGCUACUCAUGUUGCAACUGGAAGUGCACAAGAUUAUUCGUCUCAGUAUAUUUCAACAUGUUCAUCACUUUACAAAGCAGAGUCAUUUAGGAGUUUAUAGCUGAAAAGUAGAUAUAAAUGGGGUAUGAAGGACAUUGCUGAAAUCGACGUUGGUAGUUUACCAGAAGAUGUAGAAAUAAUUGAUUUGAGAAUAAGGGUGUUGGGAGAUAUUCAUGAAUCAUGUGACAGAAAGGUGAAUGAAAAAUUCCACAAAUUUGCAGAUAGUCACCAGGAAGUUUUACUGGUGGGUACAGUACCAGCAUCAUGUUUAAAAUUGAUAGCAUUCACCGGAAAUGUUCCAAAUUCAGACACAAGUGAUUCUGAUGACAUACUUUUUGAUCCUUUGGAGUGUGCAGGGAUGGAUUCAAAUAUUUCAAGUUCAGAUUCAGACUGAUAAAGUUCAGACAAGAACUAAUGUGUGAUGUAAUCCGCAAAAAAACAU